AUUGAACGCUGGCGGCAUGCUUUACACAUGCAAGUCGAACGGUAACAGGGUGCUUGCACCGCUGACGAGUGGCGAACGGGUGAGUAAUGCGUCGGAACGCACCGAGUAAUGGGGGGUAACGCAGCGAAAGCUGUGCUAAUACCGCAUACGCUCUGAGGAGGAAAGCGGGGGACCUUCGGGCCUCGCGUUAUUCGAGCGGCCGACGUCUGAUUAGCUAGUAGGUGAGGUAAGAGCUCACCUAGGCGACGAUCAGUAGCGGGUCUGAGAGGAUGAUCCGCCACACUGGGACCGAGACACGGCCCAGACUCCUACGGGAGGCAGCAGUGGGGAAUUUUGGACAAUGGGCGCAAGCCUGAUCCAGCCAUGCCGCGUGCCUGAAGAAGGCCUUCGGGUUGUAAAGGACUUUUGUCAGGGAGGAAAUCCCUAGUGCUAAUAACACUGGGGGAUGACAGUACCUGAAGAAUAAGCACCGGCUAACUACGUGCCAGCAGCCGCCGUAA
rnacentral:rRNA from 1 species